rnacentral:lncRNA from 1 species
AUUAGGAAACCUCUUUAUCAAAACUCUGAUUAUGAAGAAUAUUUUAGUUAGAACUCAAAGAUCCUGAAGCUGAAAUGAAGGGAAGACUGGUGGAUAAGUUAUUUUCUCUCUCCUUUCAGAACGUGGCAUGUCAAUUUAGAAAAUAUUAAACAAGAUAGCAAGAUUAAUGAGCUUAUUCAAAAAAAAGGAAAUAAGUCUUGAACCAGAGCCUAAUAGAAUUAGACAGUCAGAAGUAGCUUCCAGAACCAGACUCCACUUGUUUCCCUUGUGUCAAAUGUCACAUUUUGCAGAUAAGUGGACACAUCAGAUACCACAGCCUCAGAAAUUUUCAAGGCUCUGUUCUACAUAAAAUGCAUCAGAAGCAGAAGCUUCUUUUUAAUAAAUCUUUGUUUUAAAUCUUUG